CUUCUCAUCUCAGUGGUGACAUGCUCUUGCAUAUUGUGUGGUCUGGAGGUGUACAAGUGAGAAAAUGGCAGCGUUUUUUGCAGGACUGCUUUGUAGUACACCAGUUCUCUAGAGGUCAUAAGUAUUUCUGAAGACACUGACAAAGGCAUGGACAAGAACUUUGAGGUGAAAGAAGAGGAAGUAAAGGAAAUACUGGAGGGCGGGAGAUAUCAAGGAUGAACAGCCUACAGCUAUAGGUCCUCCAGGCUUUCAAAACUGGCCCUGCUGAUGAAAAACAGCAACUAUCAUCAAUCAUGCUGAUUCAAAGUCAAGUACAGUGAAGUAGGAGCGUUCCCAAAAAUCUUAUGGCU